CACACACACACACACACACACACACACACACACACACACACACACACACACACACAAUGUCGCCACCAUCAACGCCAUCUUUACACUUGAAAUUCACCGUGAGGAGGAGGAGCUUUCAUCAUCAGGGAGGCGGAGUCAGUGGCACUAUGGACCUCACCACUGCUCCGCCUUCCUGGGCGGAGCCUAUUUUUACGGACAAUAAAGAUGUGUCGUGUCGGGAGCCAUCUUUGAUCUUUGUCCGUCCAUCUCCCCGCUGUCCCAACGUGCUUCGAAGGUUCCUGCUCUGUGGAUGAGGUGGGAGGAGCCAACGCCUCAUCACUUCCUGUGUGGAUGAGGUGGGAGGAGCCAACGCCUCAUCACUUCCUGUGUGGAUGAGGUGGGAGGAGCCAGCACCUCGUCACUUCCUGGUUGCUCCUCCAGACUCUGGCUGUGUUUUUAUCAGGACCCACCGUGUAGCUCCCUGAACAGACGAGCUGAACCAGAACCCGAACCAGAACCCCGUUCAGUUUUUCAGGUCUGUCCCUCAGAAAAACCCAGAAAACCAACAGAAACAGAAAAGAUUUUUAUGAAUUAACAUAUUUUUCCAGACUCGGAUGCUUUCAUAGAACUUUCGCAUGUUUUCUAUAACUGCCAGUGAAGCUCUGCAGGAACCGUCCUGGUAGGUUCUACCUCCUGGACCAGGUUCUGAGACCCAGCAGGAACCCAGGCCACGUCUCCUGAAGAGGACAACCAGUGAGGGACUGGAACCUGUGACCCGUCUGCAGCUGAGAGUUGUAUAUUUUCAUAUCCUCAGAACAAGAAACUGACUUUUUGCCAAACGUUUUCGUUCGUUUUAUCUGGCCAACUAAGCCCCGCCCCCUCGCCCCGCCCCCCAGACGGGACAGAACUCAUGUAAAUAUUCAGGAAGGACUGGUUUUUGCUACAUUCCCUCUGAGUGAUGUGACCCGACUCACAUCAGAACCUGCAGGUCCACAUCGUGUUGGUUUCUGACAGGAAGCAGUUUGAUCCUUGUUCCUGCUCACGUCAGCCCCGAGGAACAAACAAACAAACAAAACAAAACUGAAAACAAAUCAAGUUUCAUUUAGAUUUGAUUUGUUUUUAUAAACGUCUCAAAGAACUUCAGAAUCUAAAUCAUUUUCAGGGUUUUAAACCUUUAAAUGUUGCAAAUAUUUCAUUAAAUAGGUUUUGUGUAAAGUGGGCGGGGCUUUUCUUCAGAGAGAAGGUCAGAGGUCACAGGAGGGGGGAGGACUUCCUGCAGACAGAUGAGGGGUCCAGAGAGGUGAUGAUCUGUGAUCGCCACGAAGCCCCGCCCCUAAAAUAUUACAAAUAGUGAAAUACGUGAAAGAAAUCUGAAGUUCUUUAAAACUUUUAUGGAAAUAAGUCUUAAUUAUUUUUGGUCCAGAGAAUAAAACUGUGGAUUAAAUAAAAUAUAAUCUGUAGAUUAUCACCACAGGAGCAGCAGGUUUAUUUAUUUCAGACCUGCAGGCGUCCGGCAGGUAGGACGCUUCCUAUUUAUUCUGCGCCGUGACGGCUUCCUGUCAGGCCCGUGGACUGAGGCGGGUCGUUUCGUACCUGUGUGGUGUAAAUAUCUGUGUAUAUAUUUGUUUUCUCUCUUUUGGUUCCGUCUCAGUCUGGUUCCUCUCAGAUGGCUGCUGUUGCCUUCAUCUUAACGUGUGUUUGUGCUCCUUUAUUUUAUUUUGUUGUAUUUUAUUUUGUUUCCACACAAAGUGCACUGUAAUCUACAAACUGUUUUUAAUGCAUAAUAUUUGAGUCGUCACUUUAAUCAAA